GCGCUUAGUAUUUAUCAUAACAGUUAUUAAGACUCAUAAACAUAUAAUGACAAAGCAGCUAAAAGUAUAUAAUCCAUCUAAUGAUAAAAAGAAACGGGAAUUUUUAAAUUAGUUUUUGUAACUUUGAAAAAAAAAGUACACAUCUUUUUCAGGGUCGUGACCUGUAUGUUUUCAGAGUUAGGUGCUGUUCUUAGCCUAAUACUUUAAAAUUCUCAUAUUUAAACUAAUUAAAUUUUGAUUCGAACAAGAAAUUUUAACUUUUAAAAUAACACUUAUUUAGUUUUAAUGCAAAGAAAUUACACUCUUAAGUUUAAAACUUUUCUGAAUCCUAGUUAAUGAACGUCAUUGUACAUUGACGCAAUAACUGCAUUAACUUUCUUUCGUCUUUAAAAUAAGUAUUGAUUUGGUUGUUAUUUCAUAGCGUUAUAUCAACAUUUAAAUUAACGAGGCUAGAUAAGAUGUCAGCUUCGGUUAAUUGCAAAGUUUCUUUCAAACGACGAAAAAUAUAGAAAUAGUAAUUGUUGUUUGUAACGUAUCAUACGCUAGUAGGACUUAUCAUCAACCAUUGACAUAAGUUACGUAUGUCAAUUGAAAACUACCAUGAAAAUGAGACUAAUAUAUUUAUUAGUCUCAUUUUCAUUUUAGUCGCGAAAAUAUAUUUAUAUGAUUAUACAUCAAUAAAAUAUUUCAAUACUUAGAUAAAUAUCAACAUGCAUAUAAUUGUUGUAAUUUAUCCAUCUUAUUAUUUUUCUUACUAUACUUUGUUCUGCACUACUUGUUUUACUCGAAGUAAAAAUGGAUGGAUGUCCUUCAGGGUUAGACCAGUUAGAACCAGACAUAACCUACUCUGGCCGAUCAAGAGAUAACAAUGAGGAAGAUGAAAAAAACAUCCUCAUGAAAUGCUUUUUCGUGGACUUUUUAGAGCAAAUUUAUAACCGCAAAGCAACAAAAAAAAAACGAAAAUUAAAAUCAUUUUUAUUAACUUGACCAACAGUGGCACAGCGUUUAGAACUCUGGCUCAGAACCAAAAGGUUGGUGGUUAGACACCGGCUCUAGCUCAAUAGACGUCAUUGGCAAGGAAGGAGACGUGAAUUUCCUGGUUGAGUGCUCUUCAACGGUGCUCUGCGAAAAAAUUGAUAGGUCUUUUAGGAACAACUUAAUAACUUUAAAAAAAAUUAAUAACAAUUUUGACAA